UACGUAGGUGACAAGCGUUGUCCGGAUUUACCGGGCGUAAAGGGCGCGUAGGCGGCCACUGCAAGUCGGUUGUGAAAUCUCCGGGCUUAACCCGGAAAGGUCAACCGAUACUGCAGGGCUAGAGUGCAGAAGGGGCAACUGGAAUUCUCGGUGUAGCGGUGAAAUGCGUAGAUAUCGAGAGGAACACCUGCGGCGAAGGCGGGUUGCUGGGCUGACACUGACGCUGAGGCGCGAAAGCCAGGGGAGCGAACAGG
rnacentral:rRNA from 1 species